GUGACAGAAUCUUUUUCUUGCAUACCGAUAUAAAGAUGUAAUAAUAAAAAUAAAAUCGGGGUGUAAGAUGGAUUUUUCCAGCACCGGUAAAAAUACAGGAAAUCCCCGUCUGGUAUGCAAGAAAGUCAAAUCUUACUGCUGUUGACUAUAACCAUUGGAUACCUGAACUACAGUGAUCCCACAGUCUUAUCAAGGGGCAGGAUGUGAAGUGGUUGCACACUUGGUUCAAGCGAGCAAAAUGGUUGCAAACUUACAAAAUGGCGGAUAUUUUCUGAAAUCAUCGCAUGUUCGCUUGUUUUUUUUAUCAGAUCUUUUCAAGUCUAGAUGCUAUGAACAUCAGAUGCUAUUAUGACCCGAGAGCAUGAACAUGAAUCUUUGUUUGCUGAACAAACUAUGCUAACACGUAUAUCAGAAAUAACCCUUAGAGUUUAACCAAAGGAAAGGAAGCGUACCAAAGUAUUGAACAUUAAGAACAUUGAAUGAUAUACCAAGAGGUGUUCGACACAGUUAAAUCACAUUACAAAGUUGAAGAGUCUGCUAAGACUAUAUAUGAGCGAAUACAGCACAACAGUUACGCUGUGGAGGCAGUAAACAGUUUUGAGCUGUUACGUGUCGAAUUGGCCAGGGUCAAAUUUACAAAUAAGAGGCAAUUUACGGAUUGAAGUGGAUAUUUGAAGUUUAAAAUAAUGAUAAUUGCUAGAA
rnacentral:lncRNA from 1 species